AACUUUCGAAAUUCAAAUCACCCCCCUCGCUCUCCCCAAAACGAAGGUUUUGCCCUAACUUUCUCACCCCUGCCGCCUACCACUGAUCCCAGCACCGAUCCCUUUCCUUCCUCCUCUUCCCUUCUGGCCAUUCGCCGAAUGCCAUCGGAAGCCCCCGCGUGGCCACAUCGAAGAUCGAUUUCUUCACUAUUCAGAAAUCAGAACCCUCCGGUCCUUCCUUCCUCAACGAGUCCGCCCGACCUCGCCUACACCCCCGGCGCCCCGCCCGACCUCGCCUACGCCUGCGCCGCCGCCGGGUCUGCGCCGUCGCGUCUGCGCCGUCUCCGCCCACCUCCUCGCCCCGCCCCUCCUCUCCCUCCUCCUCCUCGGCCUCUCCCAGGCUCUCAGCUUAGAGGUAACCUCUUCGCCCCUCUCCUCUUCUAAUCCCCGAUACCUUUCGCCGCUACUCCG
rnacentral:lncRNA from 1 species